UGCUUGAUGCUUUUUGAUAGCAAAUGAGAGAAAACCAAGAAAAAACGCUCAUUGUGCAUUAAGUCAUCUGGAAACAAUUUCCAGUUCAGUGAAAGGGUUGAGGCCAUUUAUCAUAAAAACCUGAGGGAUAGAGGCAGCCAUGACAUUGUUUUGUGAAGAAGUCGAUGUGUUGCUGCUUUCAUGACCAGACAACAGGUGAUUGUGGUUGCCUAUCACAUCGAUUGCCCUCUCCCCUCACAUAAAUGCUUCCCUCUAAAGAGUCACAUUGCCAUCCAGGAAAACAGACUAAUAUUUGAAAUUAUCCUUAUUUAAAAGAUGUUCAUAUGAGGCUUUUAUUACUGAUGACCAGAUACGGAAAGAAAGCAGAUCUGAUGUCUGGCGAUGGCUACUAGAAAGGGACACCCAUUGAUAUUGGAUUAAGGCUCAUUUUUGGAGGACCUAGUUCAACCUAUAAUAGAUGGCAAUAACAAGCAAGACUCCAGGUUCAGAAGAAAUAGAAUUAAGACGUGAACCCAGAGGGGUAGUAACGUGUCAAGAGAAUUCAGGAGCUUUGCACCCAGAGGUUAUUUGAGCGUGGUUGAGAAUGUUGAAGAGGCAUCCCUGGUAUGUUCCAGAACAAGUAGGGAAGUACGACCACUCUACCAUUGUGCUGACUUUAUGGCAGAUGGACUGGAGGAAUGAAGGGGCAGGUGGCUGGUGUGAACCAGGGGUCCUGUAGAAGCAGCAGAGGUUAAAGCUGAGGCAGGAAUUGAUGAGAAGUAAGGAUUCCCUCUUGUUCCUCUUCAGAAUUCCUACUUGCAGCUGACAAUGGACACACCAAGCCCCUUUGAGGGGCCAAAGGGGAACAUUCAGAUUUGCAAACAGCCAGAUUACAGUUUUACACUUCCUGGUUUUGAAACCCCUGAAAAGCACAAAACUGAGGAAAAAUCAAAAUGGCUGCACUAAUGCUUCAGCGAAGCUCCAUUUUGAAGUAACCAUUUUCCUCUUUUCCGCAAACAUCCUCCCCUACCCCCCCUUUUUUUUCCAGGAACUAGGUACCACCCUGAAAACAACCAAGGGGGCUGGCAGCACUUACGCAAUUCCUGUUGAAACCGACUAGAUCCCGUAUUUCCUUAUAAAACGCAGCAGUCCCUUCCUCUGGAUAGCCUGCGGUUUUUUGAAGGCAAUAGCGAGCUGCAGUCUCCUUUGCCUGGCAAAGCAAUAAAGCUAUUGUUCCUCUUUAUUCCAAACUUUAUCUUUGUGUUAUAUUUUGGCUCUGAAGCAUGGAGUGCAGUUUUUACAACAUUUUGUUCUUGCACCAUUUUUUUUUCUACUACUGUACCUGCAUGGCUUGUGCCAACAUCGAUCAUCUAGUCUAAAUAGCAUGAGAAAGGAGAUAUCACAUCCGUCCUGUAUCCCUAGGACUUAACACAAUGAAUGUUUAUGAAACAGAAGUAUCUUCCCAAGGGUACAAAGGGUUAGUGCCCGCCUUGCCAGGAUAGAAAAUUUUCUUUUCUUUCCUCAUCUCCCCUCAGAGAUGGAGCUCAACU